AUGCCCGACGUGAUUGCCCGCAUAGGCGACGGCGUCCAGGAGGUGAUCAACCUCGGUGCCAAGACGGUCCUUGUCCCGGGGAACUUCCCCAUCGGGUGUGUGCCGGCGUACCUGAGUGGUAACAAGAGCAACAAGUCGGCGGACUACGAUCAGUACCACUGCCUCAAGCGGUUCAACAACUUCUCCCAAAUGCAUAAUCAGUUGCUGAAGCAGGAAGUCAGCAAGCUCAAGUCGCUCAACGCCGACGUGAAGAUCAUCUACGCCGACUACUAUGGUGCUUUCAUGGAGUUCGUCAAGAAUCCCAGUAGGUAUGGCAUUGACGACCCUCUGGUGGCGUGCUGUGGUGGCAAUGGCCCCUACGGCACCGGCCAUACAUGCAACCAGACCACAAAGCUUUGCCCCGACCCGUCCAGGUUCGCCAGCUGGGACCAAGUCCACAUGACAGAGAAGGCGUACAGCGUCAUCGCCAAUGGGGUGCUCAACGGCCCGUACGCCGACACACCGUUGCUAGCGCUCCACGUUUGCUAG
rnacentral:rRNA from 1 species